rnacentral:rRNA from 1 species
UACGUAGGGUGCAAGCGUUAAUCGGAAUUACUGGGCGUAAAGCGUGCGCAGGCGGUUAUGUAAGACAGAUGUGAAAUUCCCGGGCUCAACCUGGGAACUGCAUUUGUGACUGCAUAGCUAGAGUACGGUAGAGGGGAUGGAAUUCCGCGUGUAGCAGUGAAAUGCGUAGAUAUGCGGAGGAACACCGAUGGCGAAGGCAAUCCCCUGGACCUGUACUGACGCUCAUGCACGAAAGCGUGGGGAGCAAACAGG